rnacentral:other from 1 species
UCCACCCUACUGUGUGCGUGAUGUGACAGACGUGUUUUGAGCCAACACUAACUUUUAGGGUUCCUAUAUUCCGGAUGUAACGCGAUAGGCCUGAGCCAAGGCGGAGCUUCCGAUGCGGAAACCCAAUCUGCGAAAGCAGGUUCAAGACUAAGUCACACACGGCAUGGUGGGGUGCUU